UACAGAGGGUGCAAGCGUUGUUCGGAAUUAUUGGGCGUAAAGCGCACGUAGGCGGCAUUGCAAGUCGGAUGUGAAAUCCCUCGGCUUAACCAAGGAAGUGCAUCCGAAACUGCUGUGCUUGAGUACUUAAGAGGAUCGCGGAAUUCCCGGUGUAGAGGUGAAAUUCGUAGAUAUCGGGAGGAACACCAGUGGCGAAGGCGGCGAUCUGGGCCUUACCUGACGCUGAGGCGCGAAAGCUAGGGGAGCAAACAGG
rnacentral:rRNA from 1 species